UGGGGAAUCUUGCGCAAUGGACGAAAGUCUGACGCAGCGACGCCGCGUGGGUGAUGAAGGCCUUCGGGUUGUAAAGCCCUGUGGGGAGAGACGAAUAAGUCGGCGCUAACAUCGCCGGCGAUGACGGUAUCUCCUUAGCAAGCACCGGCUAACUCUGUGCCAGCAGCCGCGGUAAGACAGAGGGUGCAAACGUUGUUCGGAAUUACUGGGCGUAAAGCGUGUGUAGGCGGCUACGCAAGUCGGAUGUGAAAUCCCCGGGCUCAACCCGGGAAGUGCACCCGAAACUGCGUGGCUUGAGUACCGGAGAGGUUGGUGGAAUUCUCGGUGUAGAGGUGAAAUUCGUAGAUAUCGAGAGGAACACCGGUGGCGAAGGCGGCCAACUGGACGAGUACUGACGCUGAGACACGAAAGCGUGGGGAGCAAACA
rnacentral:rRNA from 1 species